rnacentral:snRNA from 1 species
GUGCUCACUUCAGCAGCACAUACACUAAAAUGGGAGCGAUACAGAGAAUAUUAGCAUGGCCCCUGCGCAAGGAUGACAUGCAAAUUCAUGAGGAAUUCCAUAUUAAU